CACGAGCCUGGGGCCAGGUCCCUACUCCCCCUCCCCCCGAGGAUCCCAGAGCCUGACCCUCUUUGCCAGGUGACUCCAGGGACAGGGAUAUUUCCAGAGCCAGCAGCUCUGUGAAGAGAAGAGAGGGGGUCAGGGCCAAAGGCUGAGGACCACGGAGGACCGAGAGACACUCCCCAAUGCCCAGGCCCUCAUCCCCACCCCAUUCCUUCCCAGCAGAACCUGCCAUCUGAGGAGAAGGUUCCUGAUUAUGUCUUUUCCUUGGAGAGCUCCUCCUGCCUUUGUGCUUACACACUCAGCACGAGCAUUUGAGUUCCUGGUACUCACCACAUCAUCUCACUGCUGUAACUGUGAAAUCUGUGAAACGGGGCUUUCCUGCUAGACAGUGAGCCCCAUGGAGGCAGGGACCGUGUCUGCCUUGCUCAUCUUGUUAUUCUGUUGUGCCUGCCCCUUAGAGGUGCACAAUAAAUACUCCGCAGCCCAGCGGGAGGUCAAUCUCUUGGUUGCUCGUUUGUGCCCGAGAGCAGCUGGGAAUUCCAGAGGCGUGGUGGUUGAGGGUAGGGGAGUGAGGAUGUUAGGGGGAAGAGGAAGGGAGAGCUGCAAGCACAGACCCCUGCUAUGCCUCCUGCAGGCUCUGGCUCCAUUGGCUCCCCAGCCUGCAGAGGACGGGAUCCCCCCCAC